rnacentral:lncRNA from 1 species
CCUGCUCCCAUUGUUCCCCACCAUAAAACUCCCCUCAAAAACUCUCCCCCCUCCCCACUCCUCCUCCUCCUCCUCCUCCGCUACCACUCCGGUGGUGGGCUGCUACCUANAAAACUAAAAUGUGCUAAAGUAAACUUCAAAUACCAUUUAUGCGGUUUCGUAUUUUCUUAUUUUAGUAUCUUAUUAUUUAAAAUAUAUAAAGUUAGUAUCCUGUGGUUUCUUUUUUUUUUUUUUUCGUCAGCCCCUUCGUUAAUAUUUUAUUAAAUUAUAUACAAAAAAACUUCAGUUACCGCACUUAGGUUUAUUGAAUAUUUACUUUAGCACAUUUUAGUUUUAACUUUAUCAUUAAUUUAACAAAAAAAAUUAAUAAAAUUGACAAUAAAAAAAUAAAAUAAAAUUAUAAAAUACUAAAUUGAUGCACUUUAAAUCGUAAUGUACUAAAAUGAGAAAAUAAAAACCAAAAUAUUUGAAGUUUUUUUUAAUAAUAUAAUAAUAAUAAAGUGGUGUAGCAUCACACUUUAGACCAUUCUGGCUCCACGGGGUCCAUACGAGGAAGUCAAGGCUAAUGCGGUAACCUCACCGGGACGGUGACCACACCACCUCACACUAAACCAAAAUUAAAUAGUGUGCGUAUUAUGAACCCCUGCUCCCAUUGUUCCCCACCAUAAAACUCCUCUCAAAAACUCUCCCCCCUCCCCACUCCUCCUCCUCCUCCUCCUCCUCCUCCGCUACCACUCCGGUGGUGAGCCGCUACCUACGGCGGCGGAGGGGCGGCGGCGACGUCGCCGGAGAGGAUGGGUCAGAGCUUGGCGUGUAGCCGCUCCAGCGACGAGCACGAAUUUUUCAGCGCGGUCCAAAGCGGGGACCUCGAAUCCAUAGAGUGCGUGCUGUGUGCGGACCCCU